UCACCUGCCGAAGCGUCUAGCGCUGAAAAUGGAUGGCGCUCAAGCGUCGUGCCCAUACCGGGCCGCCGGCGGCAAAGCGGGCCGUCUCCCCAAGGAGACGCGGGGCGGCGGCCGUUAAGCCUCGGCGAGUAGGAGGCGCGCUGCGGUGAGCGCAGAAGGGUUUGGGCGCGAGCCCGCCUGGAGCCGCCGUCGGUGCAGAUCUUGGUGGUAGUAGCAAAUACUCUAGCGAGGGCCUGGAGGACUGAAGUGGAGAAGGGUUUCUUGUGAACAGCCGUUGCACAAGAGUCAGUCGACCCUAAGCCCUAGGAGAAAUCCGAUGUCGAUGGGCGGCGAUCGAUUUUAAAACCCGAGAGCCGAACGUCGGGCGAAAGGGAAUCCGGUUCCUAUUCCGGAACCCGGCAGCGGAACCGCAUCUUCGCGGGCACUCGCCUGCGAGCGCUCGUCGGGGUAACCCAAAACGGCCCGGAGACGCCGGCGGGGCGGCCGGGAAGAGUUGUCUUCUCUACUUAAGCGUCCGAGUUCCCUGGAAUCCCAUAACGGGGAGAUAGGGUUCGGGGCGCGAAGAGCACCGCAGUUGUGGCGGUGUCCGGUCGGCUCCCCCGGACCUUGAAAAUCCGGGCGAGGGCUACGCGGAAUGUCGCGCCGGCUCGUACCCAUAUCCGCAGCAGGUCUCCAA
rnacentral:rRNA from 1 species